GGAUUAGAUACCCCGGUAGUCCACGCCGUAAACGUUGGGCACUAGGUGUGGGGUCUAUUCAACGGACUCCGUGCCGUCGCUAACGCAUUAAGUGCCCCGCCUGGGGAGUACGGCCGCAAGGCUAAAACUCAAAGGAAUUGACGGGGGCCCGCACAAGCAGCGGAGCAUGUUGCUUAAUUCGAGGCAACGCGAAGAACCUUACCUGGGUUUGACAUGUAGAGAAAAGCCGUAGAGAUACGGUGUCCUUCGGGUUCGUACACAGUGGUGCAUGGUUGUCGUCAGCUCGUGUCGUG
rnacentral:rRNA from 1 species